AGCAAUCCCCCGGUAGGGUGGCGAACGGGUGAGUAAGACAUGGGAAUCUGUCCCGGAGAUGGGGAUAUCCUUCCGAAAGGAGGGUUAAUACCGAAUACCGUCCGGUGGACGAGAGUCCAUCGGGGAAAGGGAGGCCUCUGGCAACAUGCUUCCGCUCCGGGAGGAGCCCAUGGCCCAUCAGCUAGUUGGGAGGGUAACGGCCUACCAAGGCGAAGACGGGUAGCUGGUCUGAGAGGACGAUCAGCCACACUGGCACUGAGACACGGGCCAGACUCCUACGGGAGGCAGCAGUGAGGAAUUUUGCGCAAUGGGGGCAACCCUGACGCAGCAACGCCGCGUGUGGGAAGAAGGCUUUCGGGUUGUAAACCACUUUUGUAAGGGACGAAGUCCCUUCGGCAAAUAACCGAGGGGGAUGACGGUACCUUGCGAAUAAGCCACGGCUAACUCUGUGCCAGCAGCCGCGGUAAGACAGGGGUGGCAAGCGUUGUUCGGAGUAACUGGGCGUAAAGGGUCUGUAGGUGGUUUUUCAAGUCUUUGGUAAAACGCCGUGGCUCAACCAUGGUUUGGCCAAGGAGACUGGGAGACUCGAGGCUGGGAGAGGGAAGCGGAAUUUCUGGUGUAGCGGUGAAAUGCGUAGAGAUCAGAAAGAAGGCCGGUGGCGAAGGCGGCUUCCUGGAACAGACCUGACACUGAGAGACGAAAGCGUGGGGAGCAAACAGGAUUAGAUACCCUGGUAGUCCACGCCCUAAACGAUGGGAACUAAGUGUGGGGAGCAAUCCCCGUGCCGCAGCUAACGCAAUAAGUUCCCCGCCUGGGGGAGUACGGCCGCAAGGUUGAAACUCAAAAGGAAUUGACGGGGGGCCCGCACAAGCGGUGGUGCAUGUGGUUUAAUUCGACG
rnacentral:rRNA from 1 species